GCUGGCAUGAGAAAAAUGGCUACAAACUUCCUAGUACAUGAGAAGAUCUGGUUCUACAAGUUCAAAUACGAGGAUGAAGAAAGAAGAUUCUACGAGCAGGUGAACGGGCCAGUAGCUGGUGUUUCCCACGAGGAGAAUGGCACCAGCGUGAUCCUCCGUGACACUGCCAGAGCCAGAGAGAACAUCCAGAAAUCCCUGGCCAGAAGCUCAGGCCCUGGGGCUUCCAGCGGCCCCAGCGGAGACCACAGCAAGCUCCUUGUCUGGAUCGCCAGUCUAAGUGGAGAACAAGCCUGCGUGUCACGAUGCAGGAGCUAUAGCGGGCUGUCUCCAAGCUGGAGGCCUGGCUGAAUGUGCGGGAGAAGAGCUCACCCGGCCACUGGGCCACUGGGCCACAGCCCCCAGAACCAGCAGGUGUCUCCCAUGCGCCUAGUAGAGCCAUCAACCAAGAAGCCAGCCACACUAGCAGAGGAUGAGGACGAUGACAUUGACUUGUUUGGCGACAAGGAGGCAGCCCAGCUGCAGGAGGAGUGGCUGUAGCAGUACACGGAAAAGAAGGCCAAGAAGCCUGUGCCGGUGGCCAAGUCCUCCAUCCUGCUGGACGUCAAGCCUUGGGAUGAUGAGACCGACAUGGCCCAGCUGGAGGCUGUGUGCGCUCCAUCCAGCUGGACGUGCUGGUCUGGGGAGCCUCCAAGCUGGUGCCUGUGGACUAUGUACCCGGAAACUGCAGAUUCAGUGUGUGGUGGAGGAUGACAAGGUGGGGACAGACUUGCUGGAGGAGGAGAUCACCAAGUGUGAGGAGCACAUGCAGAGUGUCAACAUCACAGCUUUCAACAAGAUCUGAAGCCUGUGUGUGCGUGCGUGUGUGCGUGCAUGAGGCCCUGCCAUGAUUAAAAACUGAGAUUGGC